GAUGAAGAACGCAGCGAAAUGCGAUAAGUAAUGUGAAUUGCAGAAUUCAGUGAAUCAUCGAAUCUUUGAACGCACAUUGCGCCCGUUAGCAUUCUAGCGGGCAUGCCUGUCCGAGCGUCAUUUCAACCCUCAGGGUCCCCGUUCCGGCGGGGAACCUGGUGUUGGGGAUCGGCCCGCCCCGUGCGGCGCCGUCCCCCAAAUUCAGUGGCGAUCUCGCUGCAGCCUCCCCUGCGUAGUAGUUACAACCUCGCAUCGGAGCUCAGCGCGGCCACGCCGUAAAACCCCCGACUUUCUGAACGUUGACCUCGGAUCAGGUAGGAAUACCCGCUGAACUUAAGCAUAUCAAUAAGCGGAGGA
rnacentral:misc_RNA from 1 species